AUUUCUUGAAAGCUGCCAGUAUUAUUUUAGCUUUCCCUCCAGGUUUUUCACUAAAAUCACAUAUUCCCUCUAUUUCUAAUCAACAACUAUGUUUAAAAAAUUUGGAAAAUAUUUCAAAAAUACAAAUGAAGUUUAUCAUCGUCGUUUCCCUCUUCUCGUUAUAGUUGGCCACCAUCCCAAAUUAACUUUUUGCUGCCAUCGUGCCUUCUCUGUCAAACCGUUGAUCGUCAUCAUCCAUCCCUAGGUAAAGAUUCUCAUCGCCGCUGCUCAGCCGCCAUUUCACCAUUGCCGCUACCAUCUCACGGAUAUUGAGGCUCGAGACAGGACAUACAUACUGCUUUGGGCAAGCUUUCAUCAAAGGUUGGAUAGAACCAUUAUGAUAGAAUCAGAGUCAUACUUUAUGGCGGUCAAAGUCUUCGCUCAUGGCAGAUUACAUUAUGAUCCAGAGUUGGAGAAUCUUUCAUAUAGCUACUUGAUAAAAUAACUUGUUAGAUGCAAAAUGACACUAGGUAUUAGAUUUAAAUAGGUUAGCAUUUUGUUAUGCUGUUGACACUUCCAAUUUAUGGAUUAGUAAUUUCGGUUGUUGCGGAUUAGUGAAGUGAAUUAAGAUCAUUGAAGAGAAUAUUCGUUUUAAGGUUAAUAAGAAUACCAGGCAUUAACUAA